AUUGAACGCUGGCGGCAUGCUUUACACAUGCAAGUCGAACGGUAACAGGGAGCUUGCUCCGCUGACGAGUGGCGAACGGGUGAGUAAUGCAUCGGAACGUGCCGUGUAGUGGGGGAUAACGUAGCGAAAGUUACGCUAAUACCGCAUACGCCCCGAGGGGGAAAGUGGGGGACCGCAAGGCCUCACGCUAUACGAGCGGCCGAUGUCGGAUUAGCUAGUUGGUAGGGUAAAGGCCUACCAAGGCGACGAUCCGUAGCGGGUCUGAGAGGAUGGUCCGCCACACUAGGCCUGAGACACGGCCCAGACUCCUACGGGAGGCAGCAGUGGGGAAGUUGGGACAAUGGGCGCAAGCCUGAUCCGGCCAUGCCGCGUGAGUGAAGAAGGCCUUCGGGUUGUAAAGCUAUUUCAGACGGAAAGAAAUCGGUGUGUCUAAUACACGCACUGGAUGACGGUACCGUAAGAAGAAGCACCGGCUAACUACGUGCCAGCAGCCGCCGUAACAC
rnacentral:rRNA from 1 species